UGGGGGAUAUUGCACAAUGGGCGAAAGCCUGAUGCAGCGACGCUGCGUGGGGGAUGAAGGCCUUCGGGUUGUAAACUUCUUUCGCUCUGAACAAGGCAUGCCUUUGGGGUGUGUUGAGUGUAGGGGUUGAUUAGCGCCGGCUAACUACGUGCCAGCAGCCGCGGUAAUACGUAGGGCGCGAGCGUUGUCCGGAAUUAUUGGGCGUAAAGGGCUUGUAGGUGGCUGGUUGCGUCUGUCGUGAAAGCUCAUGGCUUAACUGUGGGUUUGCGGUGGGUACGGGCUGGCUUGAGUGCAGUAGGGGAGGCUGGAAUUCCUGGUGUAGCGGUGGAAUGCGCAGAUAUCAGGAGGAAUACCGGUGGCGAAGGCGGGUCUCUGGGCUGUUACUGACGCUGAGGAGCGAAAGCGUGGGGAGCGAACAGG
rnacentral:rRNA from 1 species